AUCAUCAUCAUUUCCCGUCAUCAUCAUCAUUAAUUAACAACGCCACUAUUUUUAUCCUUUCAGACAAAACAACAACAACAACAACAACAACAACAACAGCAGCAAUAAUAUUAAUACAGCAAACGAGAGAGGACAGUCCCCGGGGAGAGGAAAAAAGAAGGCGAUGAUGAUAACAGAAGAUUGGGGACGGGAGAUGAGAGACAGAGGCGCACCACAGCAUCACUUGAUCCUGUGCUGCUGUUUCCAGUACCCAGAUGGCUCAGUCCGAACGCUGUCUUGCUACUCGACGAAGGAAGAGGAGAGCGAAGAGGGACGGAACACAGCGCCAAGGUAAAGCUGUGACCCUGUUCUCCUCUAGUAUUCAUGUUGUUGAUCCAUGACUAUUCGAUGCUGUACUUAAACUUUCAAUGGACGGAGUUUACGAU